rnacentral:sRNA from 1 species
AAUCAAAUGGAGGGAUCAGAAAUGAUUGAUAGUCCACCAGAGAAUUUAAUGAGAUUGGUUUAAACAGCCAAAUCCUAUUAAAUAAAAAUAAGCUAAGUAUUCCUAAAGAGGUUGUUUUCAUUUAAAGGCUGAGUUCAACCUCUUUUUUG